CAAAGACAGCCCAGACAAAUGUAAACUUGUCAUGACCAAGACUUUUGGCAUUGUCACUUUGAUUAAUGUCAAGUUGUCAUAAUCAAGACAACCCAAACAAUGUCAACUUGUCCUUAC